CAAAAUUAUGCAAUUUUUUGUGGUUGUAGCACAACUAUAUUUAUACUUACUCUCGUCACAGUCCUCAGUCCUCACUGUCUCUCUCUUUCACGAGCAACAUUCUUGUACGGCAAGGAAGGAAAUCAAGUGGCCUGUGUACAUUUGUGACUCCAAACUCUUUCUAGCUAGGCAACCUACUUCACUUGGGUUUCACUCUCUGCCUCUCUCUCACGAUGGCUCUAAGUGCAUUUAGACUCUUUGCGGGGAUGGCUCUGGCAAUCAACUACUUCCAAAAUCGGAUGUUGAUUGAGAAAUUGGAUCUCCUCCUUGAGCAAGAGCAACUGAUUGAAAAAAACAUUGAGGCAGUCAAUACACGCACCAAGAACUUGGAGGCACUAUUGGCAAAACCUGGAGCCAAAGAAGAGUAGCUGCUACCUGGACUCGCCUGAAGACAGUCUUCCCUUCCAUAAACAGGAGUUUAGGAUGAAACUUCUACAGUAGGUGAUAUUUUGAUGGUUUUUGUGAAUAAUACUUGAAAUUAUUAAAUUUACUAAUCAAGAUGAGAAUUUGUUGGGCACCA